AUUGAACGCUGGCGGCAGGCUUAACACAUGCAAGUCGAGCGGGGUGAUGGUGCUCGCACUAUCACUUAGCGGCGGACGGGUGAGUAAUGCUUAGGAAUCUGCCUAUUAGUGGGGGACAACAUCUCGAAGGGGAUGCUAAUACCGCAUACGUCCUACGGGAGAAAGCAGGGGAUCACUUGUGACCUUGCGCUAAUAGAUGAGCCUAAGUCGGAUUAGCUAGUUGGUGGGGUAAAGGCCUACCAAGGCGACGAUCUGUAGCGGGUCUGAGAGGAUGAGCCGCCACACUGGGAAUGAGACAAGGCCCGGAACCCGCCGGGAGGCAGCAGGGGGGAAUAUGGGACAAUGGGGGGACCCCUGAUCCAGCCAUGCCGCGUGUGUGAAGAAGGCCUUAUGGUUGUAAAGCACUUUAAGCGAGGAGGAGGCUCUUUUGGUUAAUACCCAAGAUGAGUGGACGUUACUCGCAGAAUAAGCACCGGCUAACUCUGUGCCAGCAGCCGCCGUAA
rnacentral:rRNA from 1 species